rfam:Danio rerio chromosome 3, GRCz11 reference primary assembly.
GGUGCUGUGGCUUAGUUGGUCAAAGCGGCUGUCUAAUAAACUGGAGAUCCUGGGUUCAAAUCCCAGCUGUGCCG